GGGGCUUCAACGAGGCCAUCUUCUGGCGCUGAUUUACAGCUCCUGGGGGGUCUCCUCCUGCUGCUGACCGUUUCCCUUCCUUUUGGGGCCCCUGCAAACCUCUUCGCACAACUUCCAAUAAUGCCAAGUGGCAGUCAACAUGGUUUAAAAAAGGCUAUUGGGGCCCUGAAGGACUCCACAAAAGUUGGAUUGGCAAGGGGAGUAGAGGUUGCCAUUGUCGAGGCUACCGACCAUAAAGAAGUAGUGCCAACGGAGAGACAUGUCAGGAGUACAAUGUUCAUGGACGACGCAAUGAAUGCUUGAAGAAACAUCUCUUUUGGACAUCCCACAUGCAUGAAUGAACAACAUUUAUUUAGGUGCAUGCAUGACCAGAUUCAAGGUGUUUACAAGUUCAUGUAUUUGUCAAAUACAUGAAUGCACAAAAUACAUGAACGUUUGGGUUCAAAUGC